GCUCAGUUAGUAUGAUGGUUUUUACUCUUGGCUUGUAAUCGAGUGGGAUCGGGUUGAAAUCCCGAAUAAGGCA